GAUGAACGCUGGCGGCGUGCCUAAUACAUGCAAGUCGAGCGAACAGACGAGGAGCUUGCUCCUCUGACGUUAGCGGCGGACGGGUGAGUAACACGUGGAUAACCUACCUAUAAGACUGGGAUAACUUCGGGAAACCGGAGCUAAUACCGGAUAAUAUAUUGAACCGCAUGGUUCAAUAGUGAAAGACGGUUUUGCUGUCCCUUAUAGAUGGAUCCGCGCCGCAUUAGCUAGUUGGUAAGGUAACGGCUUACCAAGGCGACGAUGCGUAGCCGACCUGAGAGGGUGAUCGGCCACACUGGAACUGAGACACGGUCCAGACUCCUACGGGAGGCAGCAGUAGGGAAUCUUCCGAAAUGGGCGAAAGACUGACGGAGCAACGCCGCGUGAGUGAUGAAGGUCUUCGGAUCGUAAAACUCUGUUAUUAGGGAAGAACAAAUGUGUAAGUAACUAUGCACGUCUUGACGGUACCUAAUCAGAAAGCCACGGCUAACUACGUG
rnacentral:rRNA from 1 species